GUGCUCACUUCAGCAGUACAUACACUAAAAUUUGAAUGAUACAGAGAAGAUUAGCAUGGCUCCUGUGCAAAUUUUUGAAGCGUCCCAUAUUUUU
ensembl:snRNA U6 U6 spliceosomal RNA